ACUUAAAUUUUAUUUACACCUUAAUACCUACACACAUUAAUACUCAAGUUAAGAAAUUAAACUAUUUUAAAUACUAAACUAACACAAAUUAACAGAAAAUCAAAUCGUAAGUAAGUAAUAAUGAGGAACAACAAUAAUGCGCUCACUCAAUAAUUGCUAGCACGAAACUAAAAAAUAGAAUUUUAAAAUUUCUUUGCUUUCUAGUUCAAGGCCAGAGGACAACAAGCGUCAUGCGCGAAGUUAAUAAAUCCUUGCAAAUUAUGUAAUGUAAUAUGCAUCAUUAUUACUUUAAAAGAAAGUUGAAAUUCCUUUAACAAUCUUGCCAAAAUACUAAAACAAUUCUUCAAACAGACUUAUUGCAUUUGACAUAAGGUUCAGAAUAGUACCUACGGAUUAUUAAGCUACGUUCUACGUUGGUUUUAUUAAUCACGCGCUCCCUCUCUCGGCCGGCUGCUAAGUUAUUUCGUCGGUGUAGAGACUAGAGAUCGUGUCACAUCGUGUAUACUCGGUCUUUAUUCGGUAAAUCGGUUUAAUACGAUACGUACGACAAGCUCAUACUCGCCCUCGGAUACGUUUUGGAGCAAUAUAGUGUUUCGCCCGAUAUAUAGAUUCAGAUUAAGCCGAUAUCGGAUUUUAGAUAUUGCACCAAUAUAUAGAUUCAAUAUCUAUAUACGUUUUGUAUCACCCACUCCUAGUAGACAAGAAUAUUAUUAUAAUUUUAAGAUCUCAAAAAGCAUUUACAAAGUAUGUCGGGGUCCUACCGUCGUCAUGUGGUCAGUUUUUAUGCUGAGAAGAAUCAGUGUAAAGCUCAAAGAACGAGCUAUACGAGUGUUAAGCCUCUCGACAUUGAAAACGUAAAUGUGCAGAGAUGGUGCAUUAUUUGUGCGGAAUCUGUCUCCUAGGAUAUCUUAGGGUCUGCCUGUUCAUAUCAAUGUUCUUUGUUCGGGUCCUGCUUAGGUCAUUAACAACAUUACUAACCACUGUUAGCAAAUUUUUUAUGCAAUUUGUUUUUGCAGUGAAUACAAGGGGAUUCUAGUCAUGCGUUAGGGUCUUGACUCAUGACAUCAAUAAGAAUGCUGAUAAUGUGUCACUAUCAGUAUGUUAUUCUUUUAUUAUACUGUAAAAUAAUUCUUGUAAAAACUCUUUACCAAACAGUUAUUUCUUUUUGCAGGGUGCCUAUACUACAACUCUUCCCGAAGAAAGGCAGAAAGAGAGACACACUAAUGACCUUAGCGGUAGCUUACUACAAGCUGCAACUCACAGAAGAGCAACUAUUAUGAAUAUCUUUGUAUAUCAACAGUUCUUCAAACCAUACAGACAGAAUUGAGUUGCUGGGGAGUUUGUUCCACCGCUUCUGCUGCUGAUUUUCAGCCUAUUUUGAAUAAAUGACUUUAUCUGUAGCCUUAAUUUUAUGUAAAUAAACCUUUACCUCUGUGUAAA